UGGUAUAAAAGCGAUUUAUCCGAGAUUGCCCCACCAUACCUUUACCAUUAGUGUAGUGGCGAGGUUCUGUUGUAUCGUAAUGAAUUUUAGGAUAAUUUAGUAUUAGGUUAAAGAUAUUCUUAAAGUAAAAUGUAGCACUAAGAUUAUUAUAUUUACCAUAAAAUGUUCUGGAAUAUGAAGUUUCUAUGAGAGGUGGCAAGUUUCGUUAGGAGUCCUUAAGAUGGCCGAGUCAUCGCCCGGUUGAUUGCGUAUCCUUGAUUGUCCUUAUCUAUCCAAGGGAAGUUACAAGGAUAAAGAUGUAAGACUCGGUUUAACUCGUCGAACAUCAUGGCAGGUCGAUUACAUCCCUUACAUUAGGCCAGUACUUUAGCAGAUUCAAAAAGUAUUUAUAUGGCUCGCGUCGGUACGAACGCUAAGGAAUACGUCCGGUCAUCGGUGUAGAAACGUCCCCGUUUAGGGAUCUUUCUAGUUGGUUACGCAGAUGUUUAGUUGGAGCUACAGGCAGGCUUGUUCGCUAUGUAUCACGGUAGCCACGAGAUAGCUAAAGCUCUUAGUUACGAUCAUUAUACUCCAACUUGAGUUUAGAUGUUACUGGCUGAAAUAGUUACAUUUGUAAGUUUCGGAUACAUACAGAUUCAAUUACAUUUAUACAUUACAAAGUAAGCUUGUAUUUUUACAUAUUAUAUUUAAUAUUGUUAUUGUAACUGAAGAUAAGAAAUCUUAUCUUUAGGUCGUAAUUCAAUAUAUUUAGAAUAUUAAAAUCGUACAUGAAUUAUUAGAUACGAGUUUAAAGUUAGUUAUCACGAAAUAUAGUAGACUAAGAUACGAACGUUAAAAUAAAAUCGGGCGAUGACGUACUAUUAAUUUAGUAUUUAGAUUACUUUUAGGUUCGUUAUAACAUCACAUUAAGCAGUUGAUUUUGUCUAGAUGUAGCUUACUUUUAUCUUAGUUUUAUGAUAUAUAAUAUGAUAGAAUAAUGGUAAAUUUUAGUAAUCAAUAAAUAAAUGUAUUAUUUUUUCAAUAUAAGAUAAUUAUUAAUGCUAAACUAAGUAUGAAUCAUUCGUUAUUGACACAUCCUUUUAUACUUAUGUAUGUAUAUAUGUAUAUAUCUAACGCAUAACAAGUUUAAAAAGCGUAGAAUUAAAGCACUCAUGCGCAGUGACCUAACACCUAUUAGGCAUCGUUUAGGAUGAAUUAUACCUGAAAUAGUGUAAUACACGAUGGUAGGUUAAAACAAAAUAAGAUUAUUUUUAGUUGAGUCUAUUAUACCAAAGUGGGCACGUUGAACGGUAUUCAUCAUUUCGUUUAAUAGUAGUGUUUAGAUGUAAAAACCUAGGUGCAACAAGAUAUCUAGUAAAUUUUACGUACAAGAAAUAAACAUUUUAGGUACACUUUGAUUAACGUGAUGUAAUAUCGUCAUUGCUCAGUAUCUUAAAUAACAUCAAGUCAUAUUUAUAAAAAAAUACGGGAUAAAAAACAUUAAAACUCGUAAUCGGUGAUUUAUGUACGUGAAGAUGUUAAAAUAUACGAAAAAUGUAAUUUGUCAGAUCAGAUAAUAUGAAUAAAAAAAAUUACACCUUAAUUUUCAAACUAUUUAAAAAACUAAACUAAUAUUGUUAAAAAUUUAAUAAAAGCAAAACCAGUCACACAGUUCUUUUUAUUUUUGCAACUAAUCUUUUUUUCUUUUUAGCCCUUUUCCUACCUUAAAAUAUAUUGAGUUAAGUGCUAUUCAAAGUAACAUUAAAUCAGGAAUUUCAACACAUAUACAUAUGUAUAUAUAUAUAUAUAUAAAACAAUAAUUAAUAAUUUGAAAGAUACGGGAAUACUUGAACAAAAACAGAAUAAGAGAAUAAAAACAUAAAAAACUAGAGAAGAAUAUAUCAAUAAUAAUCAGCUUUACAGUUACUAGAAGAAUUAGGCUAUACAAUCGGAUGAUACUCGUAGCGUGUUCAUUAGUUUGGAUUGUGGGGAGAAGUUUUGUGUGCAGUUGUAAUAGUGAUAACGUUUUUUUUAAGAAAAGUAUUAUAUGUACCACGUGAAAGUUUUAAGUUUAGUGAUAUUUUGAUAAACGAGUUGAUGGUAGAUGUAAUGAUAAUUAUUCACUGUUAUUUAAUUAAAAAGAAUAAUGUUCGAUAAGAUUACUAAGAUUUAGAAAAUAGAGAGAAAUAAUCAAUAUUCUGCGACAUGACCAUAUUGAAAAGGUUGAAUUAAUUGAUAAAAGUAAUUGAAAUAGAGAGCAGAGUUGAUUCAAAAAUUCAAAAAUGUUUUUUAAUACUCAAAUAAAUACUCAACAUACGUCACAUUUACGUUGAAAAUAGCUUCAAAACAAAAGGAUGAAAAAAUCGCAAGAUAUUCUCGUUUAAGUGUGCAGUUAGUGUCAUAGUGGAAUGUUUAAUUAGUGAUAAUGAGUUUUUAUUUAAAUAUUUAUACGGAAGAAAAGUUAUACAAGUUAAAAUCUAUAUAAAAGUAAUAAUUUGAAAAGGUAUAGAAAAUACCGCAAUGAGUGAAAGAGACUUGAUAAAAUCGGUAAUGAUUACAAUAAAAAUAUCCAGAAAAAAUAAUGCACUGAUUUUAAACUACGAAUAUUUGUAGGAUUUCGUUCAUGGAAAAUUACAUUAAGAUAUACAUUUUUGAACAACUAAUUUCUACUCAGCAGAAAAGUAAUUCGCUAUUAGAAAGGAAAAUAAGGAAAUUUCCCUAUAAUCAUGGAAAGGGUAAUACUGACGUUAACAUCGAGAGAUAUUAGAUAACAUAUAUGUACAUUAAAAAUCAGAUAUAAUGAACAGCUCAACCGUUCCAUUUUUACAGCAUUUUGUAAGACAUGUAUUAAUGCCACUUUGGAAUAGAUUUCAUGAUUACAUUAAAUGAAUGCUUUAAGUAUCUUAACAUCUUCAAUUAGCCUUAAAAUAGGAAGCAUUAGAGGCCCUCAAUUUUACUUACCUUAUGCAAUUGGUUGAAGUAUUUUAGGAUCUUAAAAUAGCAAUAGAGGUUAAACUUACCAAAAACGUAAUAACGGAUGUUUUAAAAGAAAAUGACGGAAACUAAAACACUAAGAACAAUUUCUACUACGGAAAGAAAUCAGAAAAAUCAAAACAAAUUAAAAAGAAACGUAUACCUAAUAAACGAAGCCUAUAUUUAUAUUUAAUAACCGAAGAAACUAUUUAAUCUAACAGAUAUAAUCACUACAAAUUUUAUAAUUACAAGUACACAAAUACUCAUGAUAUUUUAUUGAAUUGGCCACAUGAGAAAUCGAACUUAUGAUGACUUCGCCUUAGGUGAGUCCAAGAGAAAGAGAAUGACAAGAAUAUUUCUUGCAUAAAUUAAAUAUUUGUAUUAUGUAAUAUAUUAUAUACUAAUAUUUUUUUUAUCUUCCUCAACUAUCUUUCCUUUUUUCGUUUAGCUUUUUUAAUUCCAGAUAAAUAACAAUAUUGGUAACAAGAAUGUUAUACAAAAUCAAAUGUUAACACAAAAUUAUAAUUUUAACAUUACAAGAUUACAAUGAAUAUUAUUUGGCUUGAAACCGUAUUACAUUUAAAAAUAAUGCAUAAUAUAGUGCGAUAUUGGCUUGACCUUUUUUAUAUUUAACUAUUUAAACUAAAAUUGGUACAGCAUGGUCUAGAUUGUUUAACACUAGGGAUAGUCACAAUUCACAGCUGACUGCACUGAAUAGCACUUGGAUGACCUUUGGUUGAUGAGUAAGGUUUGUUUUUAGCAUCUGCUUGUAAAUAUAUUUUUAUUUGUUCGAUAUAUCACGUGAUUCGUCUUCCCUGCGUUUCGAUCCAUGUGGAUACAUCGAAAACGUAGUACACACCUUACUAUGCUUAUCAGCGCCACAUACAUUGUUCAAGUAAUUUAUUUCAGAGAAAGGAUAAUAUUUAAUGUUCUAGGCUUAAUUGGGAUUACUUGUGGUGAUUAACAAUUUUCUUUGGAUUUGAGCAUGAGAUUUAUAUUAUAGGAGGGAUUGGACUAGUCAAUUCGCGAGUUGUUUGUUAAAUUGUUGCUAUAAGAGUGUGAAAGGCUUGGAUAUUACUAGUGCAUUUCUGCAGAUAUACAUUCGACGCUUUUCACGCCUUUGAGAGUUAGGAUCAUGAUUGUCACCGGUGUCCAUACGGGUAUGUAAUUUUUAUUAAGUCACAAAUUAAUAACGAUACACUACUAGCGCCCUAUUUCAAUGUUUUUAUGUAACGUUAUUUCUCUCACAGUAUUAAUAACAAUUUACAUACUCGCUUUACUUAUGUGAAAUGGUUUUAUAUAAUAUAUUACGUUGUGAUUAAAAAAAUUUUUUUUUUUGAUGCAAUUAUCAUAAAUUUUAUUUCAGUUUGUGUAUCGGUUACACGGUUCUUUUGGUAUUGUACUUGUUUUACUCGUUACAAAACAGAAUUUUCUUUAACAUUUCUUAAAUUUUAAUUUCAUAAUACAGCACGACUAGGUCAUUAAUAUUUUGUUUUCAGCUAAUCUAAUCGAUAGAAAAUUUAGAAAGAGCAAAUUUUCUACAUUGCAAUAAAAAUUACAUUAAUACACACUAGAAUAAAUGGAUUUAUACACGGAGAAGAUUGUUCCUGCACCAUAUUGCUUUUGAAUCCACGAUUUUAUCAUUAUGCCAGUUUGUUUCUUCGCAUUAUAGUCGUCUGUAAGCUCAGGAAAUACCCACCAAGCUUGAGUCACGUGGUUUGUUUGUGGUUCCGUGUAACAAUUAUAAAACGAUAUUUUGAUAAAACGCAAUAUGCUAACUAUCCAAAGUGGUUCUACUAUGUAACUAAAGUAACCGUUGCUGCUUCCAUGCAUCGUCCAAGUCUUCUUAAAAAUAGAUAUGCUUUUAUUUGCAUUUCAAUGAUUUUUAUGUUUGUAGACACAGUUCAUUUUGAUUACAAAAUUUUCUGUGAUCUUUAUAAAAUGCACCAACAAUUCUUUGUGGCUAACUUUAACAUGUGAAUGAGCAUGGAGCUAGAUGGAAUAUGUCAUAUGAAAUCGCGAUUUCUUGCAGGUUUAGAUGGUGUGUGAUAGUUAAAAAUUUGUUGUCACUUUAUUAUUCUUAUAAUAUGGCACAUACAUCGAUGUUGGGUUUACUAGAGGCAAUGCAAGAUUUUCAUGAGUACAAUGCGAAAAUAUGUGCUUAAGUUAUUGUUCAUCUUAAUGCUACUCAUCGGUGUUUAUGUAAUAUAUUAAAGAUCUUUUAUCCCUCAUUGUAUUAAAUGCUUUUUAUUUUUAAUAGAGCUUUAAUAAUUUGUGGAAUGUCACUAUGAUACUCUUUUAAUACUAUUGCUGUGGUGAUUCGUCCCUUUAUAGUAAAGAUGUAAGGUCCAAAAUUAGUGUUUAUACCCAUUAACACUUUUUUCAGUCCUGGCAUAUGUUGUCGAUAUGUUUUGUAUAUGUUAUAUAAUAGUUAACACUCCAGUGUAGCGAGUAUGUUACUCUGUAUCACAGGAUAUGCUUUGGGAGAAUGAACAGUAGGAUCACGAGUGCGAGAACGAGCUGUCGCUUGAAAAUGAAUUCACUUCAAUUUAUUAUAUUAUGCUUAAACGCUUUUGUAGGAUUAAUGCCUUAACGACCCAAGAAGUAAUUAAUCUCUGCAAAAAAGAAAAACCAAAUUAAGUUUGUCUUAUUUCGUUUGUUGUGGUUAAGUGUUCGUUUGCCGUUUGUUAGUAAAAUUAGUUCUGUUUUUUAGUGAAAAAAUUGUGAAUAGUGAAAAUGAAAGCAUGAAUACAAAAGUUACGUUUAUUUGAAAUGGUUUUAGCAAUCUAUUUACAGUUAAUAUUUAACAAAAGUAACUAAAGCAGACUUGUAAUCAUGAGAUAAAUUUUAGUUCUAAGUGUCAGUGGUGAUGUGUUGUGAGUUGAAUUGGGAAGUUUAAAAUAAAUAUAUUGCAAAAAGUUAAUUAUAUUCAUAAAAUAAUUAUAGUAUAGAGAAAUGAGAAAAGUUGAGUUCAUGUGGAAAGUUGGUGUUAGUGAGAUCUAAAUAGUUCUCAGUUUGAAUGCUUUUUCUGUUAUUAAUAUUUUUUCUUACAGAUAAUUAUAUAUAGUCAUAUAAAUUAAGUAUAAUAAAUGUUAAAACGUCAUUAAAACUCGAUGCAAUAAAAUAUAUUAGAAAACUAUAACCACUAUUAUUUACAGAUUAAUGAAAUUAUUUUUAUAAUAAUUCCAGGAACGUAAAAAACUUUUUUUCUUAACUUUUUUUGCAGUUGCCUGUUUUUGACGGCGUUUAAUUAAAUAACGGUUUACGUUAUAUAAAUGAAAAACGUAUAAAUGCGUACAAUAGCAAAACAUGUAUAAAAAUGAGAGAAAUUAACAUGCCGAGAGUUUUGUUUUAACGUUUUAAUUUCAGUUAAAUUUCUAAGAUUCCGUAGGCUCGAUAUCGGCAGAGUAACAUAAUACGAAUAUAAUGUAGCUCUACACAUACGACACCGAACGAGAAAAAUAUAGGUAACUAAUAUAAUAAGAAUAUUGUUAUAAUAAAUUAAAAACUAUGCUAGCGUUAGUAAGGACAUGUACUUUCCCCUUGUGCCUUUUUUUAUAUUAUUACAGUUCGUGAUUUUAUGGCGUCUGUCGUGGUUUCGGUGAUCCAACCAGCGGCGUCUGCGUAUAAUUAUAUUUUUCUCAAACUUAUUUUGCAGGUAGUAGACAUUCUUCGCUUGCGUUUAAUCGGUGGAUAUUUUAUUAUAACAUUAAAAGGUAAAUCUGAACAAAAUUGUUUAAGAUUAACAACAAAUGUCCUUUCUUGCAGAGACAAUACAUAACGAUAGAUGCAAUCAAUAUGAAUACAUAUUUAACUUAAAUUUAAACAAAUAGGAAAUAUUCAUAUAAUCCAUAAAUAAUGAUGUACAUUUCAAAGUUUUUUUUAUUCUCCUAUCACUAAAGAUUCUUGAAACUUUUUUUUGCAUAUAAGCAUCUAAAUUUAUAUUUUUUAUAAUUAUUUUUAAUUUUAAAGAAGCUAGAUGACGUCACUUCACGCCGACGCGGUCACUGCUUACAAUAUAACGUUUUUACAUAUAUUUUUUUACCAUUAUUUAGACACAUCCAUUCGGAAUGCUAGUGAUCAGUUCAAUUCAACAGAUUUAUAACAACACAUUUGACUUAUUUGGUUGUACUUCGAUAAUUUUUAUGUCGAUUGUAUAUAUAAAAUGCUUCCUAUUAUUUACUUAGGAAAUUAUAAACUUUGUUUUUGCGUUUUUCGUGUAUCUUUUUACAGUUGAGGGUCUCGACAAAACCUAAACGUAUUAAUCUGAUCGAGUGGAAUGCGGGCUACGAAAUUUAAUUUUGCACAAAGGCAACAAAUGAAAACGGUAUGAUAGAAUAUAGCCUACUCCAAAAAUUUUUUGCCCUAUUUAUAUGUAUUUUAUUUCAAUUUGAGCUUUACGGCGCAUGCAGCGGAAUAGGUAGCAAACCAAGAUUUUCAUUUGUCAUUAUCUAACAAAGCAGAAAUGCUUAUGCUUUUUUUCGUGUCGGUACAUUUUUGCAGUUCCGGAUUCUUUCCUGACGCCUUGUCACGUUCCACGUAACUCCCGAAGGAGAUUAAAUUAAAUUUAAAGAAUUAACAAGGCAUAAUUUAAGCUAAUAAUAGUACAAUAUAAAGGAAAAAUAUUGAGGCCUGAAUCUGCAGUCAUGCACGGACUUUGACUUCAAAGUAGCAGGUAAAAUUUUACCUUUAGUUCGUGUUUUUAUAUUUAUGUUCACAGUUACCAGAUACGAGGUCGUUUAUAUAUAUAUAUAUAUAUAGAGAACGGGCGGAACAAACAUACGGUUAUGUUUAAAAUAAUGUCAUAUGACAUAGUAAAAAACUUAUAAAUCAGGUAUUUAAAUUAUUUACAUUAAUAACUGUAAUCUUUUAAACACUAAGCCUUUUUGUUUGCUUUUCUGCGUGCUCUUUGAUCUUUUUACAGUUGAAGAUUUCCGCACCAGUCUAAACAUCAUUUCCUGACAUCGAAUUAAAUUCAAUGGUUAUAAAUUGGUAUGAAUACAUUGUUUGCUGACACCAAGUAGAAUAUGUUGAUGCCAAUGACGUGUUAGAAGCAUGACUAAAGUUAAACUAGUCUUAAAAUCUCUAACCCUUUACCUCUAACGUCGUUUUCUUGUGUCCCUUAAUUAUUGUUUGCAGUUAUCACGCUGGCAGAUAGCGGCAUACACUACGAAGGACAACAAAUUCGAGCCUGUUAGCCUAACCAAAAUCUGAUUGCACUCGUAAGCAAAAUCCGUAGGAGCCACUGUACUGUACGACUCAAUAGUAGAAGUUAUUGUGACACUCGCAUGUUUAUUUUCAACUACACUACACAUCAACCUAUAUAAAAAGAUUUGAGUAUGUUUUUUUCGUGUGCCUCGAAAUUUUUGCAGUUCAGAGAUUCGUGCAGAUAGAUAUUCUACGGAGAAAGAAAACGAUUCUACGAUAGUAAACGUCGACGGUGUGUUGGUUCACUUGCAUUGGCUGUGAGUUGUAUUUUACGCCUUAUACCCUAAAUAAUUAGUCUAUUAUCUUAGCUAUAAUAGUUACUGUAAUAAGAACGAUGUAUCGACGCAGUUUCAUGGACCGACAGUAAGAUUCUGUCUCGGAAUAUCGUAUGUAUUGGCCAUGCCGCAUAUUAUAGACGUAACGUCGCUGAUGCUUUCAAUUAGACAACUUCGAUCUAAAUAGGUAUUUAAUUUAUUUUUGCAUUUCUACGCGUAAAUAACAUCACUACAUCAUUUUUGUGUAGCAAGUUCUGUGUGUAUGUGUUGUUAGUUUUAGCGUAAGAGAUAGUAUUAACGUUAGGUUCUGCUUAACUCUGGUACGCAAGGGUCCAUGAUCAUCUCAAACUAACUAGGUAUGAAAAUACGAUUUCUUAAUCUUUUAACAGGUAUUAAUAUCUAGCGAUAGAAAGUCGAAUGAAAAACAUUUGAAGUAAAUGUUUGCCUGCGAGAAAUAUAUUCGUGUCGUCCUAAUUGGUACGUAAGUUUGGUAUUUGAUGAAACAACGAUGAAAGUAUUUGGCUGGUAGCGGGUUUAUAUACAAAGUAUGUAGAUAUUUAGAAGCAUAUUGGUGGUUGUUUUCUUUCGAAUGCUUGAGUAAUAAGUACUGUGGAUUGAAUAGUUCGUAUCAGUGAACGCAGGCUAUCGUAAGUUUUAAUAUUAUUUUACAGCUUUGAAAAAUCAUGAACACAAUAAAUUUAUACAAUAAUUUAAGAUUUACUUAUUACCUCAAUAUAAUUAACAAGAAGUUCCUAAUAUGUGUUAGGUCUUAAUAUUUAAAUUAAUAUAAUAUACAUGAAUAGUAUUAAACAUAAUUUACUUUAAUCUUUAGAUUAUAAAUAUAUAAAUAUAAGUAUCAUGUCACCGAAAAAUAAGCUUAAGAUUUAUUAUAACGAAAAUACAAUUUAUAGUAAUUGUUUGAUAACAUGGUUUUUCGCAAUAUUUAUGUUCUAUUUUUUCAGAUAUACAAGCAAAAAUUACCAUUGAAAUGUAGACAUAAAAAACUUGCCACUUAGGAUAAAUGUAUUUAAGGCAGUACCUACAUAGGUAGGUUAGUAGGUACUUACUUAAACUAUUAACUUAAUUUUUUCAAAUAAUUUUCAGGUUAAUUUACUAAUUCGUAAAAACCGGGCGAUGACAUAUAGGGGGUUUUAGUCUUUAAGUAUCAAGUUAUGUUUCACAACUAUCGAACUAGGCAGAUAUAUAUGUAUUUUAAAAAUUAUAUAUUACCAAAUCAACAUCAAAAUUAAUAUAUAUAAUUCAAUACAAAAAUUGGCUAAAAUUCAAUUUAAAAAAAAUGGUGAUGCCUGUGGAGUUUCUUGCGCCGCUUCUUCUCCACAGAAGAACACCUUCCGAAGCGGUAGUAGAUAUUUUCAAAAUUUAAAAAAUGUAAAUUAAGAAUAAAACAAUGAAAAUAAAUUCAAAGAUAUAACUA